GUGCCCGCCUCUGGGCGGGGCUCUCUGUGAUUUGCGAGAACAGUAGUUCUGAAAAAGGAAAGAGGAUUUCUUCCUCUUCUGACCGCUCGGUGAGCAGUCCGCACCCGGAGCUGCUGUCGGAGUGAGGAAUAAUAAUAGCAGCAGCUGUAGGAGUGAGGAAUAAUAAUAGCAGCAGCUGUAGCCGUAACAUUUAUUGAGAGCUUGCUGGGUUCUGGGCAUCGUUCUAAGUGGGUUUCCUAUCAAUUAGCUCAUUUAAUACUUAGCCAUAUUGUGCCGUCGAUUUUUACUUUCAUACAUGCUUUCCAUACCAGCAGCUUCACAGACAGGUGCAGUCACUUGCCCAAGGCCAACACAACUAGUACGCAGCAGAACCUGGUGCCCCACACCCUCGGGCGUCACUCAAGAGUGCGUCCUGGUGCACACAGAAGUUCGCCCUCCAGUUACCUCUCAGUGGUAGAACCAGGUCUCCUGCUCCAGGCUGGGGCUGUCACGUGGCACGGUCAUCCCCCGGUGCACCUAUGAACCUGGGGCAAGUGGAACGCCUGGGCCCAGAUCGUUUAUGGGAAGUUUGCUGUUACCCACAGAGCAGAGAGCAGGGCCCCGAGCCCCAAGAAACAGAAAACAGACGGAGAGGAGUCAGGACAGAAGUGGCUUCUGCAGGACCGUCCAGGGAGUCAGUGCCAACGACUCACCAUCCCUAGGCUGAGGCUGUGGAAUGGACUCUGGGAGCCUCAGACCCCAGCCCCUCCCGCCUUGAUCUUCCACCCUCGCAGAGGGGCCUAAGGCUUUUGAAUAGGGAGUCCUGGGGUAGGCGCCAUUACCCUCCUUUACGGGAUGAAACUGAGGUGGUGCUGGUGACUGGCAACCAGGAAUUUAACUGAAAUCAGUCAGACUCCAGCUGGAACUCGGCGGCAUUUCUCGGGCUAGAUAGCGUCCUGCGAGCUUCUGCCAGCAGAGGGCGAUAGAGGGAAGACCGGGCGGCCGGAGCUGAGACGUGCCCGGCUGCUUCUGGGCUUGAGCAGUAUUUCACCAGCAGUGGGCGCAAAUCACCCCGGGGCAGCAAAGGUUGGCUUCCGCCUCCAGCUUGAUUCGGGGGUCCAGGCUUCAGCCUCCCCGCAGUCUCUUGAUACACUCACAUGAUGACACAGCAUCUCUCCUUGGGGGUGGAGCCCAGUACCAUCCUUUCCUCGGAGCAGUUGGGAUGGUAGCAGCCACUGGAUCCCACCUCUUUUCCAAGGUCCAGAACUCACCUCCAAGCUGCUGCUGCUGCUAAGUCACUUCAGUCGUGUCCGACUCUGUGCGACCCCAUAGACAGCAGCCCACCAGGCUCCGCCGUCCCUGGAAGCCUCCCUUUUAGCGUCUUUUCAUCAUUCCCCCAGCGCUUCAGGAGAUCCAACCAGUCCAUUCUGAAGGAGAUCAGCCCUGGGAUUUCUUUGGAAGGAAUGAUGCUAAAGCUGAAACUCUAGUACUUUGGCCACCUCAUGUGAAGAGUUGACUCACUGGAAAAGA
ensembl:lncRNA